AGCGAACGCUGGCGGCAUGCCUAACACAUGCAAGUCGAACGAGACCUUCGGGUCUAGUGGCGCACGGGUGCGUAACGCGUGGGAACCUGCCCUUAGGUUCGGAAUAACUCCCCGAAAGGGGUGCUAAUACCGGAUAAUGUCUUCGGACCAAAGAUUUAUCGCCUUUGGAUGGGCCCGCGUUGGAUUAGCUAGUUGGUAGGGUAAAAGCCUACCAAGGCGACGAUCCAUAGCUGGUCUGAGAGGAUGAUCAGCCACACUGGGACUGAGACACGGCCCAGACUCCUACGGGAGGCAGCAGGGGGGAAUAUGGGACAAGGGGCGAAAGCCUGAUCCAGCAAUGCCGCGUGAGUGAUGAAGGCUUAGGGUUGUAAAGCUCUUUUACCCGGGAUGAUAAUGACAGUACCGGGAGAAUAAGCUCCGGCUAACUCCGUG
rnacentral:rRNA from 1 species